rnacentral:rRNA from 1 species
CCCUUAGAUGUUCUGGGCCGCACGCGCGCUACACUGAUGCAUUCAACGAGUUUCUCCCUGGUCCGAGAGGAAUGGGUAACCUUUUGAAAGUGCAUCGUGAUAGGGAUAGACUAUUGCAAUUAUUGGUCUUCAACGAGGAAUUCCUAGUAGACGUAGUUCAUCAGACUGCAUCGAUUACGUCCCUGCCCUUUGUACACACCGCCCGUCGCUCCUACCGAUUGAAUGCUCAGGUGAGCCAUUCGGACUUUCAUCAUGCUGGUUUCCAGUUUUGAUGAAGGAAAGUCUUGCGAACCUUAUCAUUUAGAGGAAGGAGAAGUCGUAACA